rnacentral:rRNA from 1 species
AUUGAACGCUGGCGGCAUGCCUUACACAUGCAAGUCGAGCGGAUACAGGGCUCUUGCUCCUGGCUUCAGCGGCGCGCGGGUGUGUAAUACCUAAGAGUCUGCCUGGUAGUGGGGUAUAACGUCCGGAGAUGUGCGCUAAUACCACAUACGUCCUGGAGGAGAGCGUGGGGGCUCUUCGGCCCUCACGCUCUCAGCUGAGCCUAGGUCGGAUUAGCUAGUUGGGGGGGUAAAGGCCUACAAAGGCGACGAUCCGUAACUGGUCUGAGAGGAUGAUCAGUCACACUGGAACUGAGACACGGUCCAGACUCCUACGGGAGGCAGCAGUGGGGAAUAUUGGACAAUGGGCGAAAGCCUGAUCCAGCCAUGCCGCGUGUGUGAAGAAGGUCUUCGGAUUGUAAAGCACUUUAAGUUGGGAGGAAGGGCAGUAAGUUAAUACCUUGCUGUUUUGACGUUACCAACAGAAUAAGCACCGGCUAACUUCGUG